rnacentral:rRNA from 1 species
GGGCUACCACAUCUAAGGAAGGCAGCAGGCGCGUAAAUUACCCAAUCCUGACUCAGGGAGGUAGUGACAAGAAAUAGCAAACCGGGAACCUCAUGGUUUCACGGUAUUGCAAUGAGAACAAUUUAAAACCCUUAGCGAGAAUCAAGUGGAGGACAAGUCUGGUGCCAGCACCCGCGGUAAUUCCAGCUCCACUAGCGUAUAUUAAAGUUGUUGCAGUUAAAAAGCUCGUAGUUGAACCUCUGUCUGGGGCUAGUUUUGGCUUUGGUCAGGCUAGUUCUAGGCAUCCGCCUACAAGACUUAGAGGGCAUUCAGUUGUUCACUAGGAGGAGUAGGCAUUUUACUUUGAAAAAAUUAGAGUGUUUAAGGCAGGCAAUCGCCCGUAUAUAUUAGCAUGGAAUAAUAGAAUAGGACACUUUUCCAUUUCGUUGGUUAUUGGAAUCGUGUAAUGAUUAAUAGGGACAGUUGUGGGCAUUUGUAUUUAAUUGUCAGAGGUGAAAUUCUUGGAUUUAUUAAAGACAAACUAACGCGAAAGCAUUUGCCAAGGAUGUUUUCAUUAAUCAAGAACGAAAGUUAGGGGAUCAAAGACGAUCAGAUACCGUCCUAGUCUUAACUAUAAACUAUUCCGACUCAAUGUUUGACUGGCUUAUAUAACCAGUUGAGCGUUGUAUGAGAAAUCAAAGUCUUUAGGUUCUGGGGGGAGUAUGGUUGCAAGGCUGAAACUUAAAGGAAUUGGCGGAAGAGCACAACCAGGAGUGGAUUCUGCGGCUUAAUUUGACUCAACACGGGGAAACUUACCAGGUUAAAACAAUAGUGGGAUUGACAGUUUGAGAGCGCUUUCUUGAUUGGUUGGGUGGUGGUGCAUGGCCGUUCUUAGUUGGUGGAGUGAUAUGUCUGCUUAAUUGCGUUAACGAACGAGACCUUAACCUGCUUACUAGACUGGCGAUCAUCAAUCGUUAGCUCUUCUUAGAGGGACUUUGGUUGUUUUAACUCCAAGGAAGUUUGAGGCAAUAACAGGUCUGUGAUGCCCUUAGAUAUCCUGGGCCGCACGCGUCAUACAAUGACUAGUUCAGAAAGUUUUCUCCUGACCCGAAAGGGGAUGGGUAAUCUUGAUAAUACUAGUCGUGUUAGGGAUCGAUCUUUGCAAUUAUAGAUCUUGAACGAGGAAUUCCUAGUAAGUGCGGUUCAUCAGACCGUACUGAUUACGUCCCUGCUCUUUGUACACACCGCCCGUCGCUUCUACCGAGUGGGUGGUCCGGUGAGAUAAUUGAACUUCGCAGGUAACUGAGAGGAAAGAUUAUCAAACCUAUCCACCUCGAGGAAGAAGAAGUCGUAACAAGGUU